CUACUACUCCCUCCGUCCGAAAAAGCUUGUCUUUUGAAUGGAUGUAUCUAGCACCAAGUUAAUGCUAGAUACAUCCAUUUGAGGGACAAGCUUGGGACAGGCUUUUUCGGACGGAGGGAGUACCAA
rfam:Triticum aestivum genome assembly, contig: Triticum_aestivum_CS42_TGACv1_scaffold_514828_6BS